rnacentral:rRNA from 1 species
AACCGGGGGAACUGAAACAUCUAAGUACCCGGAGGAGGAGAAAACAAAAGUGAUUUCGUAAGUAGCGGCGAGCGAACGCGAAUUAGCCCAAACCGGUGUUGUUACGGCAAUGCCGGGGUUGUAGGACUGCGCUAUUGGUUGUGCGAUGAAUUAGAACACGUUGGAAAGCGUGGCCAUAGACGGUGAUAGCCCGGUAUAAGUAAAGACCAUUAACCAUAGCAGUAUCCUGAGUAGUGCGGGGCACGUGAAACCCUGUAUGAAUUAGUCGGGACCAUCCGAUAAGGCUAAAUACUCCUGAGAGACCGAUAGUGAACUAGUACCGUGAGGGAAAGGUGAAAAGCACCCCGGCGAGGGGAGUGAAACAGUACCUGAAACCGAACGCCUGC